rnacentral:rRNA from 1 species
UACGUAGGGUGCAAGCGUUGUCCGGAAUUAUUGGGCGUAAAGAGCUCGUAGGCGGUCUGUCGCGUCUGCUGUGAAAACUCAGGGCUCAACCCUGGGCCUGCAGUCGAUACGGGCAGACUAGAGUUCGGCAGGGGAGACUGGAAUUCCUGGUGUAGCGGUGAAAUGACGCAGAUAUCAGGAGGAACACCCGGUGGCGAAGGCGGGUCUCUGGGCCGAAUACUG